rnacentral:rRNA from 1 species
GAUCCUGAUGUCUUCGGAUGGAUUUGAGUAAGAGCAUAGCUGUUGGGANCCGAAAGAUGGUGAACUAUGCCUGAAUAGGGUGAAGCCAGAGGAAACUCUGGUGGAGGCUCGCAGCGGUUCUGACGUGCAAAUCGAUCGUCAAAUUUGGGCAUAGGGGCGAAAGACUAAUCGAGCCGUCGAGGCGAAUUACCGGGCGGUUCUUAACAAGUCCUUUGGGGGCUACAUCGUCCCUCUGGCGGGGUCCAACACCCGCAGCAGCUCCGGCUGUCCACGAGACUAGGGAGACGAUGGUCAUCUCCACGGUCGAGAUGAUGAUGGUAUAGUCGGUUUGGGGAGAUCCCCUGGUAGCUGGUUCCUGUCGAAGUUUCCCUCAGGAUAGCAGUAACGUAUUCCAGUUUUAUGAGGUAAAGCGAAUGAUUAGAGGCCUGGGGUUGAAGCGACCUUAACCUAUUCUCAAACUUUAAAUAUGUAAGAAGUCCUUGUUACUUGAUUGAACGUGGACACUUGAAUGCAUCGUUACUAGUGGGCCAUUUUUGGUAAGCAGAACUGGCGAUGCGGGAUGAACCGAACGUGAGGUUAAGGUGCCGGAAUGCACGCUCAUCAGACACCACAAAAGGUGUCAAUGCAUCCAGACAGCCGGACGGUGGCCAUGGAAGUCGGAAUCCGCUUAGGAGUGUGUAACAACUCACCGGCCGAAUGCAUUGGCCCUGAAAAUGGAUGGCGCUUAAGCGUGCUACCUAUACCUCGCCGUUGGGGUUGAAAUGAUGCCCCAACGAGUAGGCAGGCGUGGAGAUUGGUG